UACAAAUGCAAAGUUAAAAACUAGUUUUCAGAUUUUUCGGCCUUCAAGGACAAACACUAUCGAUUCGAAGCGAAAAUGAAGCAUUAAAAAUAAUUUUGAUACGAUUAUUAUUAUCUGGAUCAAGCAUUGCACGAAUCAAUUGUUUAAGAUCAUCGGAUAUAUUGCGUUCAUAACGUGUACGAAAUUUCCAAUCA